UGGGGAAUAUUGGGCAAUGGGCGAAAGCCUGACCCAGCAACGCCGCGUGAAGGAAGAAGGUCUUCGGAUUGUAAACUUCUUUUACGAGGGACGAAAACAAUGACGGUACCUCAUGAAUAAGCCACGGCUAACUACGUGCCAGCAGCCGCGGUAAUACGUAGGUGGCAAGCGUUAUCCGGAUUUACUGGGUGUAAAGGGCGCGUAGGCGGGGAUGCAAGUCAGAUGUGAAAUCUAUGGGCUCAACUCAUAAACUGCAUUUGAAACUGUAUCUCUUGAGUGCUGGAGAGGUAGAUGGAAUUCCUUGUGUAGCGGUGAAAUGCGUAGAUAUAAGGAAGAACACCAGUGGCGAAGGCGAUCUACUGGACAGUAACUGACGCUGAGGCGCGAGAGCGUGGGGAGCAAACAGG
rnacentral:rRNA from 2 species